UCAUACAGGGGAUCACACAUUUUAAA
rnacentral:piRNA from 1 species